UCAUCUUGGCGAAAACUGGGAGAAACGGGACUAGUUACUGUCUUUAUGCGCCUUGUUAGAUUCACCCCACAGGGAUAGCGGCAGAGCUGGCAGCGGACGGUUCUGGCUUUGGCCUCCGGCAGGCGCCUCCCUGGGGCAGGAAGCUGGUAAAAGUUUCAUUUGAUCUGAAUACUAUUCAGAUAAAAUACCUGGAUGAGGAAAAUGAAGAGGUAUCCAUCAACAGUCAAGGAGAAUAUGAAGAAGCGCUUAAGGUAAUGAUUAUUUAAUCUCAUUUUCAAAUAAUUUAAUAUUAUGG